rnacentral:lncRNA from 1 species
AAAAGAUAUAAAUAGAAAAUAGAGCAGACCUCUAAAAAAACCCCAAAAUUUAAAACUAGAGCGAUGGAUUAAAUAAGUUAUCAAUGUGAUAGUUACUAUUAUAGCGUAAGAGAAUUUCGCAAUGUUCUGCACACUGGGAAACCUGACAGCAUUCAGUGUGUGUAGAGUGCACUGGAGAGGUGAAGGUGGGCCCGGUGCUGUCUGCUUUCUCCCCUUACAUAUUGCAGGUCUUCUUCCUGGGCGAAAUGCUUCCCCUGAUGAAUGAGGGAGGAAAUCGGGCUUUUAUUUCUUUUUUCUUUUUUCUUUUUUUUUUUUUUUUUUUUUGGUUUUCCGAGACAGGGUUUCUCUGCCCUCGAACUCAGAAAUCUGCCUGCCUCUGCGUCCCAAGUGCUGGGAUUAAAGGCAUGUGCCACCAUGCCUAGCCUAGGCUUUUAUUUCUUAAAGUUUUUUUUUUAAUAUAGUAUUGCAUUUUACUGAUAUUCUUUUGUAUAUAUAGAAAGAUUGAAAGAUUAUUCAGUUGCCCUAGUCUCUGUUAGAAUACGUUGAUGGUACUGAAAUGGACAUAGACACACACACAUACACAUACAUAUUUGUAUAUGUGUAUAUACUGAAUUCUUUAUCAGGACAGCAGUAAAUCUGUAUAACGGCAGUAUAUCAAUUUAGCUUGUCCCAUACUAAAUGUUUACUAAAUUUCUCUUAAGAUCAUAGAGAGGAAACAUAACCAUAACAGGAUUUGAGACUGGCAGGCAGGUAGAAUCUUGGGGAGAGUUGACUGAGAACAGACUAGGUAAGCUUUAGGAUUUGUGAUAUCAGUGGUUCCCAACCCCUUCACAGGUGGACUAAAACCACUGGAGGUGUCAGAUCUAUGCCUCAUGUUUCAUAGCUAGCAAAGUUUCAGUUACAGUAGCAAUGAAAAUAAUAAUAUGGGUGGGGAGCACUACAAUAUGAGGAACUGGGUAAAAGGGUCACACCAUUAGGAAAGCUGAGAACCGCGGUGAUAGAUUGUUGAGACCUCCAUAAUAAAACCCUGCAUUGACAGCUGUUCUUCUGCAUCCGUGGACACCUAUCCUGAGAAAGAAGAGAGCACUCUGUUCCCCUGUCUUAUAUCUCUUAUAACUUUGUUAUCUGUAUGUGCUCAGUUUAGCUCCUAGUUCUCUUAUUGGAAAUCUAAUUGCCAGUGAUACUAGGCAAUUAGACCAGAGAGAUCUGUCCUCAAGGAUGAAAUAAUGCUGUCAUUGUUUAGAGUAGAUCAUAGAAAUGGGCUCCUGAUUAUUAUGGCUUGGACAAUUUUUUUUUUUCCGAGACAGGGUUUCUCUGUAGCCCUGGCUGUCCUAGAACUCACUUUGUAGAUCAGGCUGGCCUCAAACUCAGAAAUACGCCUGCCUCUGCUUCCCAAGUGCUGGGAUUAAAGGUGGGCUUGGACAUAUUUUAAAGGGUUUUUAAAAAUGUGGGUAUAUGUUUCACCUGCACUUAUGACUGUACCACAUGUUAGUGUGGUGCCAGCAGAUGCCAAAGGAGGUAAUCAGGUCUCCUGGCACUGGAGUUACAGACAGCUGGGACCUGCAGUGCGGGUGCUGGAUAUUGAACUGGGUCCUCUGAAGAGCAACCAGUGCCCUAACUACUGAGCCAUCUUUCCAGCCCCCAGAUUGGACAUAUUUUAAAGAUCUGUGUGCUGAGAAUGGCUUGAUUCCAAGAAUAAGACAGAUUUUUACUGAGAGCUAGUGAAUCUUUAAGAGGCCUAAUGAAGGAGAUUGAUUGGUCAAGGCACUUUCUCCAGAGAGGAUUAAUGCCUACCUUUCAAGGUGUUUGCUCUAAGACCAUGUUAUUUACUGUGAGAACAGAUUAUCAUAAAGAAAAUUUGACUUCAUCUGCUUUCUUGUUUCCUUCUGCCACCAUGUAUCUUCUCUCUCUGCCACAUGUUCUUGUGACUGCUUUCACAUGAACUAUUACUAUAAAAUGUUCCAACAUACUGUGGUACAGAGGUCCUUGUUAUAAACCAAAUUGAUUGCACACCCCCGUCUAAGACUUUGACCUUCUGAAAUGGUAAGAUCGGUACACCUAGUUUUUCUUUUUCAUAAACUACCUGGCCUCAGGUGUUUAGUUAUGUAAAAUACACUGCCAUAUCUAUCAGAUGAUGAAUUUUUCUCCCUGGCAUUCCUUUUUCAUCUCUUUGCUAUGGAUAGUGUAUCAAAUUGUCCAUAGUAUAUGUCAUAGUAUAUGUCAUAGUAUAUGUCAUAGUAUAUGUCAGCUUGUCAGCCUGAGCCUUUCUGGUCUCCAUAAUCAUAAGAAGUAAAUCCCCAUUCUUUGUAAACUACCUGGUCACCAGUAAUCUGUUAAAGCAUACUAGCAUAAAAUAGAUCUUAUAUUAAACAUAAUACAUACAUAAAAUAGACUAAGCUACCACCUUUAGUCUCUGAAAAGCAGUCGGUCAGCAAGUAAAGAAGGCAACAUUGGUCAUAGUUGUUAAUGGGGAAAUACGUCUAGACCCCAAAGAAAAGUGACUUGCAUAGAACUAGAGAUAAAAUUAGGGGAUAUAGCUGAGGCAUUAGGAAUUAUAUGUUGUAUUGUUAUUGUUGUUGUUUUGUAUUCUCCAGAGCAGGAUAGCAGAAAAAGAAAGCUACCUUAGGAGAGAGGAGCUGGCCUGAGUGACAGACAGGAAAAGCAGGUGGCUGGAUAAGAUCCUGUGUUCGCGCUGCUGCUGCUGCUGCCGUGUGAUGGGAAUUCAGAUUUGCAGGCUUGAUGGAACAAUAUGCCUAGACUUUAGCAGAGUAGGUUUUCUUUGUCUCACUAAUUUCACUUUCAGUUAUUUAUCUUUGAAACAGGAAACUGUAGCUUAUAAAGAUAAUAUAGUUAGUGUGGUUUUGUCACAUGUAUUUAUAUGUCUAAUCUGGCUCCUGAAGGGAAAUCAUUGAAUCACAAAUCACACGACUCCAGGUGAUUUAAUUUUUAUGUAUUACUAUUGAAAUUAUAUAUCUUACAGAUUCUCUAUAAAGGCUUUUAAUUCUCUAAGAUAUUUACAACAAUAUUUAUGAAUCUUAUCUGAUAACUGUAAGCUAUAAUAUGGAAAAAUCUCAACCUUUCCCUUGUUCUAUAAUAAUUUAAUAAAGUAUUUCCAAGGGUAAAGAAAUGUCUUGGAGAAACUAGCUAGUAUUUUAUUGGUUUCAGUGUUUUCAUGGACGUUGACAGGACUUAUUCCCAAAGUUGCUUCAUGAAGCCAGCACUUACAAUCUUAAACAUUAAGGUCAAUAUUUGAUAAUAUUUUCUAUAUUUUCAAUGGGUUAUAUAAGCAUAUGCCAUUUAUUUUGUGAUCAUUUUUAUUAUAAUUUCAAUGAUUUAGCAAUUUUGGUACUAGCAAUAUUGUUUUAUAUUCCCCUUUUUAAAUUAAUCUACAAGGCAUUUCUCUGAAAUUUUAAACUUAAUGUUUUUUGAAUUUGUUUGUCUUGAUAUUAUCAUGUGAAUGCAUACACACAUUUGUGGUGUGUACAUCUGUCAGUACAGGGGGCACAUGGAUGUUAGUUUGAAGACACCUUUUAGGAAAGUCUGUUUCAUCUUUGGUCUUCUUAGGGAGUCAGGCUGCAUACUCCAGGUUAGCUUGUCCACAAACUUCCUGGCAGUUCUUUCCCCACUUCCAUCGCACAGCAGGAGUUCUGGGAGCACAGGUACACUCUGCUGCUUUCAGCUUUCACAGGGGUCCCAGGACUCAGGUCAUCAGUCUGCCAGGCAAACACUUGCUUACUGAGCCACCUCACCUGCCUUGAAGUGUUUUUAUUGUUGUUGUUUGUUUGUUUGAAGUCUUUAAUUAUAUUACUAGAAAUUUGUUUAGUACAUAUGAAUUUUUCCUCUGCAGUGGAUUUUGUGUUGACUGUUUGGUUAAGUUGAAAUCAUAUGCUACCUUAAAAUGUCAAUUAUUAAAAAGAUCUUUUUUCAAC